rnacentral:rRNA from 1 species
AGUGAACGCUGGCGGUAGGCCUAACACAUGCAAGUCGAACGGCAGCACAGUAAGAGCUUGCUCUUACGGUUGGCGAGUGGCGGACGGGUGAGGAAUACAUCGGAAUCUACUUUUUCUUGGGGGAUUACGUAGGGAAACUUACGCUAAUACCUCAUACUACCUACGGGUGAAAUCAGGGGAUCUUCGGACCUUUCGCGAUUCAAUUAGCUGAUGUCGGAUUAGCUAGUUGGCUGGGUAAAGGCCCACCAAGGCGACGAUCCGUAGCUGGUCUGAGAGGAUGAUCAGCCACACUGGAACUGAGACACGGUCCAGACUCCUACGGGAGGCAGCAGUGGGGAAUAUUGGACAAUGGGCGCAAGCCUGAUCCAGCCAUACCGCGUGGGUGAAGAAGGCCUUCGGGUUGUAAAGCCCUUUUGUUGGGAAAGAAAAGCAGCAGGUUAAUACCCCGAUGUUCUGACGGUACCCAAAGAAUAAGCACCGGCUAACUUCGUG